GGCGGAUUAGCCAAGUAUGAUUGC
rnacentral:tRNA from 1 species